rnacentral:rRNA from 1 species
AUACGGAGGGUGCAAGCGUUACUCGGAAUCACUGGGCGUAAAGAGCGUGUAGGCGGGUUAAUAAGUUGGAAGUGAAAUCCUAUGGCUCAACCAUAGAACUGCUUUCAAAACUGUUGACCUAGAAUAUGGGAGAGGUAGAUGGAAUUUCUGGUGUAGGGGUAAAAUCCGUAGAGAUCAGAAGGAAUACCGAUUGCGAAGGCGAUCUACUGGAACAUUAUUGACGCUGAGACGCGAAAGCGUGGGGAGCAAACAGGAUUAGAAACCCUAGUAGUCC